rnacentral:lncRNA from 1 species
ACGAUACGAAGAAGGCUCGUAUAAUAAAUAGAUCGAUACCAUCGGAGAGAUUGAUUGAUUGAUUCGUGAAAAAUGUCGGAGGAAGAGAAGCUAUUGAAGGACGCGAAGAAGCUCCCAUGGGAGGAUCGCCUCGCUCACAAGAACUGGAAAGUUAGGAACGAGGCCAACGUCGACCUAGCUUCCGUCUGCGAUUCCAUCACCGAUCCUAAGGACCCUCGCCUCCGCGAAUUCGGUGAGUUUUUUCAGCUGUUAGGGUUUUCAAUUUUCGCGGCUCCAGAUCUGAUUCGAUCUCGCUGCGGAUCUGCUUUUGGAUUUUGGACUUAUCCUUGUUGUGUGUUUGCAGGUCACUUGUUUAGAAAGACGGUGGCGGAUUCCAAUGCGCCGGUGCAAGAGAAGGCGCUCGAUGCAUUGAUUGCGUUUUUGAAGGCAGCUGACUCAGACGCUAGCAGGUACGGUGGUGAUGAGUUUUGAUGCUCUUGUGGAGCGAGUGAUUGUGUUUGCAUGUGAAUUUAGCUUGUUUCUGCUUUUGGAAGGUAUGGAAAGGAAGUCUGCGAUGCCAUUGCGGCCAAGUGUCUCACGGGUAGGCCCAAGACUGUGCAGAAGGCGCAGGAGGCUUUCUUGCUUUGGGUAGAAUUAGAAGCUGUUGAUGCUUUUCUGGUAUGCCUCGUUAUUCUUCGUUCUUGCGACUCUGUAAGGUCCAUGUGGAUUGGUGACAUAGAAAUGAAGUGCUUUGUAAUCCAGAGUGUGGCCAUAUACGGAGUGAUGUAGAAUGUAGCAUGUGGCUCUGUUGCCCAGUUCUGUGUCAUGCUAGGUGUCUAGCGUAAGAAGAAAUAUGGAUACCUUCUUCGCUGCUGUUUUGAAGAUGUCUACGCUAGUGUUUCGUUCUAUAUCAUUUCCUCAGCAUUUUUAAAUUUACUGCCCAAGUAUUAAGACCCCAGAACUCCAAAUAUAACGUCUAAUGAAGAUAUUUAUUUGUAGUUGUGUCGUUUCUAGGAGAAAAUCGUCCGUGUACAAUUUAACAGAUUUGUCAUGAUUGUAGGAUACAUUGGAGAAAGCUAUAAAGAAUAAAGUUGCAAAGGCUGUGGUACCUGCAGUAGACGUUAUGUUUCAAGCUCUCAGGUCUGUUCUGAAGUCUUAGUUAGUUUUCUCCAUUGAUUCUUUAAAUCUCUUAUCUGAAAUAACGACACUAGUUUUUUUUUUGUCUUAGUGAUUUUGGAUCAAAGAUUAUUCCACCCAAAAGGAUUCUAAAGAUGCUUCCGGAACUUUUCGACCAUCAAGAUCAGAACGUCCGUGCAUCUGCCAAAGGGGUGACUCUGGAGCUAUGCCGUUGGAUUGGAAAAGACCCUGUAAAAUCUAUUUUGUUUGAGAAAAUGAGAGAUACAAUGGUAAGAUUUAUGUUGAUCCAUACGUUUGCAGCUUAGCCAUGCCACCAAGAUGAUAUCAACUGGGUUUCUAGUAUAACAGAUAGCAUAUUAGAUUGCUGAUCAGAACCACUACCUUGGCUGAAUUAUCAUGAUUUAAAAUUUCACUUGAUAUUGUCUUCUUUGAUUAUGCACCAAAAGCUGUCGAAUUAGUUCCUUUAUUUUCUUGUGCUCUUUCGCAGACGCUAAUAUUCGAUUUUAUUGUUGUUAUGUAAGAAAAAAGAGCUGGAGGCUGAGCUUGCCAAUGUUUCAGUGGGUGCCAAGCCUGCUCGAAAGAUAAGGUAACUACCACAAACUAUAAGAAUUGUUUCUAUUGAUCUUAGCCUAACUGCCACAUACCAGAUUUAGCUUCAUAAUUGUGAAUAUUUUCUUUUUACUAUGUCAAGUUUUUGAAUAAUUGAAUUUAUAUGCAUGCGUAUUUCAAAAGUUAAAAACACUACUAGCAUGAUUUUGAAAAUCUGCAACUAGAUUAUUUAUGUAUAUGGCUUUCAAGGUCUGAGCAAGACAAAGAGCCAGAGGCAGAAGCUAGUUCUGAUGUGGUGGGUGAUAGGCCCAGUGAAGAACCUGUUGCUGAUGGUACGUAGCUUGUAGUUCAAUAAAUUGUUUCUUCAUUAAGUAAUGUUGAGAAAGCUGCUUACUUUGAUUCUUCUUUAUCAACGCAUUACUAUCAGCGCCUCAGGAAAUAGAUGAGUAUGAUCAGGUAUUGAGUCAUAUAAAUUAUUGUUGUGAAGCAUUCUGCGAUACCAAGGGAAUGCAGAAACGUUAUGCAGGAGUAGAUACUCUAAUAAACAAUAAAAAAAUUCAAUAAGGUUAGCACAUACAAAAGCCUCAACUGAUCCAGCUUUCCAAGCUCAGGGGGUAACGGUCCGCUUAAUUUGUGAUGAGUAAGACUCCUGUGCACAAGAAACUUUAAGAACCAAUAAAGGAUGCAGCACAUAUUGAGGAUAAACCAAACAAGUUUCAAGCUUACAAGGCUGUAACUCUUUUUGUUCUCGCAUCACAAGUCACUCCCUUCCAGUUACACGGAUCAGGAUCCUCUGACCUCCACUGACGUAUGGCACCAUCAGAACUAGAUAUUCCACUUCUAAAGCUUAGAAGCGCCUCACCUAAAGAACAAAAAGGAGUGAAACUCUACAGCGGAAUGGGCGGUGAUCAUAGUUCCGUCAAACACAAGAAGAGAUUUAAGUAAACAUGUCACUAUACCAUCAGGACUAAUCGCUUCAAUUUCAUUCGUCAGUGCACAAAGCAGUGAGAUCAUAAGAAGCCAUGACCAGCAGCGCUUCACCAGCAGAAGCAUAAUAUAAUUACUGUCAAUCAUCUGAAAGAACAGACUCCAGAAUGUUUCCCUCCUGACAUAUACUCAGCUGCUUGGUAACGCCUUGUCUUAUCUUCAACAAACAAAAAAGAAGCUCCUGAAGAUAAAGAAACACCUACAUUAGAUUGUAAAACAAGAACAGCAAACCCCCCUCAGAUGAAACUCAAUCAAGAUUCAAGACAAACAAUUUGUCCCAAACUACACUGAACUAUAUGCUGACAUCCUCUCUUACCCAUACAACAAUCAUCUACCAACGUGCACCUAAAGAUCACCAAAAUCACCCACCGAAUCAGCUUUCUUACAAUAACACUCACAUACAUAAACCAAAAACCAAACUACAAAAUCCUCUAUUACAUAACAACCUUCCGACAACAUCUAUCAUUCAUUAGAUUUUGUAUAACAAGAACAGCAAACCCUCCUCCUCAGUGAAACUCAAUCAAGUCAAACCACACUGAACUAUAUUUCUGAAAUGCUCUAUCACACAACAAGCUUCCCUCAACAUCAAAAACACAAACUUCGCAUGCUCAUCUACAUUCACACAACCCAGAACAGUAAUGUUACCCAAAACGGAUCAAACCCACCUCACAAUUUCCAAAAGUAGAAAGCGAAACUGAACUAUAUGCUGACAAUCUCUAUUACACAACAAGCUUCCCACAAAAUCAAAACACAACCUUUUCAUUCUCUCUCAUCUACAUAAACAAAACCCAAAACAGUAAGGUUUCCCAAAACGGAUCAAACCCACCUCACAUUCACAAUUUCCAAAAUUAGAAACCGAAAUUGAAAUUCACUCCCGAUAAAGCCCAGCUCCCUCCAGCAAUCAUUGCAGUCUCACCACAAAUAGAACUGAAGAGUCAACCCGUACAGUAAUCUCGAAACGAACUCGAAGUCGAUUCGUUGAUAAAUCAAAACCCAAUUCGCACUUCACCCCCAAAUCGGAAACGUCGAAUUGGAUCCGCGAGGAGGGAGAUGAUGAAGGAGAAUAGGACAGAGGAAGAAGACGAUAUUUUGAGCUGUAAAUGGUGUGGUUGAUGAGAGAGAGUGAGGAGAGAGAAAGUGAGAGUGUUCAGUAAACCAAAAAUGUUUGGAGAGGGAAUCGGCGAUUUACAACCAAUGAGAGAGGCGAAGUGAUCAUCACACGUGCCGACUAGGACUUCCCGCACGUGUCGACCGACGAUUUAUUUCGCUGAAUCAAAAACCCAGGGAUUAUUUACAGACUGGCUACAGCUUGCUGGGUCCGGUAUGUAUCCCAAUGGGCCUGAGAAACCCAUCAUUAAAGAUUAACCGGUUUGAGUUGCAACCAGCAACCCGGUUCAGCUCAAAUUUUGAAUUUGAUUUUUUUUUUCAAUCUUCUAAUAAUAAUAAUGAUUUUAACAAGGAUUUUUCUACAUUUUAAUUAUUUUUAAAAGUAUUAAAGAAUGACAUUUUCUGAAACAAUAUAAAAUUAGUAAUUUACUGAGACAUAAUUAUGGUUCAAUUUUUAAAUCUACUAACUUAUAAAUUCAAAAAGUGAUUUUCUUAAAUUUAUUUUAAAAUCAGGGAACUAAUACAUAUAUUUUUUAUAAAAAUUCAAAAUUACCUAAAAUUUAUAAAAUAAUAAAUCCAUAAAUCCUCUUUGAGCUUGUGUUAAUUUGAAAUUUAAUUUUCUAAACUUGUGUAUUUACAAAUAAAAACUGGAAAAGCUAGGAUAUUUAAUCUUAAUAAAAUUAUAUAUACUAUGAUUUUAUGAAUUUUCCUCAAAUAUAUUAAUACCACAUCAAAUAGUUCAUACAUUUCUUAAUCACCUUCUUCUUCUUAUUAUUUUUUUGGUGAUGACACACUGUCAUCAACGUGUAACACAAAAUCACAAUUAUCAUUUUCAAUAAUUCAUAUAUAAAUAUAAAAAUUCACAUGAAUAUGUAACGAGAUUUUCAUUUUUAAUGCUACAAACUAAAUUGUUAUUUCAACAUACUUUAUAAAAAAUAGUAUAAUUUAUAAAUUUGGUCAUAUUCAUAUAUUUUACAUAUAUAUAUUAAGUUAUAUUUUUUUUAUGAUGACUAGUCGUUUAUAUACAUGUAUAUAAUAUCUGUAAGACAUAAGUAUGUUUAAAAUGAAUAAAAAGUCAUUUAUCAUUUUAUAAGUUAGAUAUAUAUACAUAAAUUGAAAAGAAUAUAAAAAACGUCUUUUGGGCUGGGCUAGAACUGUCGAAUGGGCCGUCCAGAGCCCAUUUGGGCAUGACCAUAUGGACCAUUUCAGUUAUGGGCAAUAUUGGGUGGUCCAUAUUGGACAAUGGUCCAAAAAAUGCCCAAGACCAAUAAAAACCAUGUCCAAAUGGUCUAGCCCAUGGACACCCAUUAAUAUGUAUUUGUAUUUAAGUUAUAUGUUUCACAUUCAUAUUAUUCAUAAUAAUUUUUAUAUUUAUAUAAAUUUCACAAAAUCCAUAAUUUAUUUAUUUGUACUUAUAUAAAUUUCACAAAAUCCAUAAUUUAUUUAUUUGUGUUUAAUUAAAUUUUAUAAAAUUUGUAAAUAUCAUUUUUUGUAAAACAAGUAAUGUUUCAAAUUUAUUUGUGCCACUCUUGCUCAGAUGGAAAGCUCUUGUAGCUCUUAUCAACUUCUCCAAGGUUUCUCAAGGCAUUCUUAAACUCAAUAGCCCUUGAUAGCAUCAUGUGUGUUGAAUUCCAGCGUGUUGUCACAUCAAAAAUCAGACCCGCCUUAGCCGCUUCAGCUCGGACUCCAACUGUUUCGACACAGUUCUGAAACAUAAUCUCUCUAGACUGAGAUGCUUUCACAUACUUAACGCUCUCCCUGAUCUUAUCUAAAGCUCCACUGAUAACAGCCAAACCAUCUUGCACAAUUAAAUUUAAGAUGUGAGCUGAGCACCUCACAUGAAAGAAAUCACCAUCGCACACCAAAUUCCUUUGCAGCUUCCUCUUCAAAAUAGCCUGCAUAGUAUCAUUAGCCGAUGCGUUGUCUACUGUUAGAGAAAAAACCCUUUUCUCUAACCCCCACUCCUUUAACAACUCCGUCAGCUUCAAGGCUAUAGCAACACCAGAGUGUGGAGGCGGAAAAGCACAAAACGAUAAAAUCCUUGUCUUCAAUACCCAAUCAUCAUCUACGAAGUGGACUGUCAAGCACAUGUAGCCUUCUAUCGUUAUGGCUCUCCACAAAUCUGUUGUUAGGCAAACUCUUCCAGGGAUGUUAGCCAAGACUGCCUUCAGCUUCCUUUUCUCCUUCUCAUAGAUCUUGUACACAUCAGACGCAGCUGUGUUGCGAGACCAAAACUCUAUAGUCGGAUUCGCAUAGGUGAAAGCUUCUCUGACCUUCUCAUACUCGACAAAAGAGUAAGGAAGAUUGUGCUGAAUGAUAGCCACAGCAAUCAUCUCGCGGAACACUUCCAUAUCCAGCUUUUUAGGAGCACUUCUAGGAGUACUUCCGGGAGUUUUUGAGCAAGUCCUCAUAUGGCGAUUCAUGGUAUUAGUUCCAUUUUGACGCAGAUUCAAGCAAUAACUCUUUUGACAGUAAUUACAUCUAACAUCAGUUCUACCAUCAGAAUAUUUUUCCCCUACUGUGAAGUUAUUCCAGCACUUAGCACGACGUCUACUUGAACUACCACUACUGGUACCUUUUUCUGAAGAAGCAGUUUCUUGAGGCAUUGGAUCAUCCUCAUGGACCUCGUCAUCAUCUUCAUGUUCCAUGUCUUCAUAAUUUUUUUAAUGGUUUGGGCCGCCCAGAGCCCAUUCGGGCAGGACCAAAUUGUCCACGGGUGAAAACGGUUUUACGCCCAAUUGGACCAUUUGUUAUUUGGUCAAGCCCAUGAACCGCCCAUCACAGUUUGGACUGGUCAAGCCCAUGGACGGCCCGACCAUUUGACAGCUCUAGGCUGGGCCAAGCCCGAUUGACAAUCCAAGGUUUAACCUAGUAUAGUUUGAAAAUGUCGAUCUUUCCACGGAGAAACAAAACGCUCGUUAAGAGUAAGACGAUUUCAAAUAAUCGCGCGUCGAAUCACAUCUAGCAGCAAUGCGCGUGAAGUGUUACAGAAAAUAAUCACACCACCGAUUUAAACGUAGAAACCAAAAUUCCUCCACUCUCUCUCUCUCGCUGAUUAGGCUCCAUUCUUUUCUCUCUCUCCUCGUUUGUCCUUUCUCUCUCUUGCCGGCCUUAAAAAAAAUUUGAAAAGAGAGAGAGAGAGAAAAAGCUGAAGGAGACGAUACGAAGAAGGCUCGUAUAAUAAAUAGAUCGAUACCAUCGGAGAGAUUGAUUGAUUCGUGAAAAAUGUCGGAGGAAGAGAAGCUGUUGAAGGACGCGAAGAAGCUCCCAUGGGAGGAUCGCCUCGCUCACAAGAACUGGAAAGUUAGGAACGAGGCCAACGUCGACCUAGCUUCCGUCUGCGAUUCCAUCACCGAUCCUAAGGACCCUCGCCUCCGCGAAUU